rnacentral:rRNA from 1 species
CAGUCGCCGCGGUAAUACGUAGGGCGCAAGCGUUGUCCGGAAUUAUUGGGCGUAAAGAGCUCGUAGGCGGUCUGUCGCGUCUGGUGUGAAAUCCCGAGGCUCAACCUCGGGCUUGCAUCGGGUACGGGCAGACUAGAGUGCGGUAGGGGAGACUGGAAUUCCUGGUGUAGCGGUGGAAUGCGCAGAUAUCAGGAGGAACACCGAUGGCGAAGGCAGGUCUCUGGGCCGCAACUGACGCUGAGGAGCGAAAGCAUGGGGAGCGAACAGGAUUAGAGACCCCUGUAGUCCCUGUCUCUUAUAC